AUACGUAGGGUGCGAGCGUUGUCCGGAAUUACUGGGCGUAAAGAGCUCGUAGGUUGUUUGUCGCGUCGUCUGUGAAAUUCCGGGGCUUAACUCCGGGCGUGCAGGCGAUACGGGCAUAACUUGAGUACUGUAGGGGAGACUGGAAUUCCUGGUGUAGCGGUGAAAUGCGCAGAUAUCAGGAGGAACACCGGUGGCGAAGGCGGGUCUCUGGGCAGUAACUGACGCUGAGGAGCGAAAGCAUGGGUAGCGAACAGGAUUAGAUACCCUGGUAGUCCAUGCCGUAAACGGUGGGCGCUAGGUGUAGGGGUCUUCCACGACUUCUGUGCCGUAGCUAACGCAUUAAGCGCCCCGCCUGGGGAGUACGGCCGCAAGGCUAAAACUCAAAUGAAUUGACGGGG
rnacentral:rRNA from 1 species